GCUAAUUUCUUUUCCUCCGCACUCAUUUCACUACUAGUGCUACUACCAGAGACUGACAUUAAGGUCUCAUAGUAGCCCAAGCUCACAGCCAUUAACCCAAAUUGGGUGAAGUUCUGCAAGUGCUGCAUCAAUCUGUUAGCCCUUUCCUCAGUCUCCAUGUCAAGGCAGAGAAGUGCACCAUAUCCAUAGUCCUUAUUAGCCAUGGACUUGAGGAGCUCAUGUUGUGGGUGGUCUUCAAGGCCUGGGUAGUUGACUUUGAGGCCUAGUUUCUUCAUUCUUGUUGCAAACUCCAUCGCUCGGUGGCAAUGUUCCUUCAUUCUGAGGCCCAAAUGAGGAAUCCUCCCUGACAACUCAAAGGCCACCUUGGCGUUCAUUGUAGGCCCAAGAAGCAUCAAAGUCCCUUGAUGAAGGUCCAUCAUUGAGUUCACAAGGCUGGCCGGCCCACAAACAGCACCUGCAAUGAUAUCAGCUCCGCCGCUGAUGAACUUGGAAAUACUAUGCACAACCACGUCCGCCCCUAGACGUGCCGGAGACAGGACCACUGGGGCAAAAGUGUUGUCCACUACCACCAUCACACCUUUCUCAUGGGCAAUUCUGCUGAGUUCAGGGAUAUUAGCUACGGUGAGAGUAGGAUUCGACAUGGACUCGAAGUAAAACACCUUGGUUUUGCCUUCAACUAUGGCAUUUUUCACCAUUUCUACAUCUCCAAUUUCAACAAACGUCGUCGUUAUGUUGCACGCCCUCGGUAAGAAAUGGCUCAACAGGGCGUGAGUCCCACCAUACAGAGCCCUCGAAGCCACCACGUGUCCUCCACUGCUGCAAAGUUGCAAUAACACCGAGGAUAUCGCAGACAUACCGCUAGCAGUGCAAUAGGCGGCCUCGGUUCCUUCCAGGGCGGCCAUCUGGCGGCCAAGAUUCAAGACGGUGGGGUUGAAGUGGCGACUGUAGAUGAAGAAGUCCCGAUC
rnacentral:misc_RNA from 1 species